rnacentral:rRNA from 1 species
CCUACGGGAGGCAGCAGUGGGGAAUAUUGCGCAAUGGGGGAAACCCUGACGCAGCAACGCCGCGUGAGUGAGGAAGGACUUCGGUCUGUAAAGCUCUGUUAAUGUGGAAAAAUGGUAGUUGGUCUAAUAGGCCGAUUAUUUGAUGGUACACAUAGAGGAAGCACCGGCUAACUUCGUGCCAGCAGCCGCGGUAAUACGAAGGGUGCAAGCGUUGUUCGGAUUUAUUGGGCGUAAAGCGCGCGUAGGCGGACCUGUAAGUCAGAUGUGAAAUCUCGGGGCUCAACCUCGAAACUGCGUCUGAAACUGCAGGUCUAGAAUCUCGGAGGGGGAAGGGGAAUUUCGCAUGUAGGGGUAAAAUCCGUAGAUAUGCGAAGGAACACCAGAGGCGAAGGCGCCUUCCUGGACGAGUAUUGACGCUGAGGCGCGAAAGCGUGGGGAUCAAACAGGAUUAGAUACCCUGGUAGUCCACGCUGUAAACUAUGAACACUAGGUAUUGGAGGAUUUGACCCCCUUUNAGUGCCGUAGCUAACGCGUUAAGUGUUCCGCGUGGAAGUACGGUCGCAAGACUAAAACGUUAAUGAAUUGACGNNGAGAGNGCGAGGACGACGACGAGGGAGGAGG